AAAGGUUCCGGGAAGUUCCUACUGACGCCAAAGAGCGGGGAAAGAUCGGCCUCUAGUGCCAGUAUCGGAGCAUAGCUGAUGUCAAGGCGCGUUCUUGGCACUCUGUAGUGUGUAUCUCCCACAUACCAACCUGUCGCAAGGAGGCUGCAAAGGCUUCGUGUGAACUAUUGAGCCGAGUUCGGAAUUGGCUGCAAAUGCUCUUGGCCAGUUUGGAGGCACUGAGGCUCUCGAUGGCGUCCUGGGCCACUUUCCUCUUCCACUCCAGGGUGAUGGCAGGUGGGCUUACCCAUGCAAUACGCUGGAUGAUCUGUCAAGAUGCGGACAGUGGGAUCACUGAGGGAUGGAGAAAGAAACUACUAGAAGGCCCAACAAUGCCCUCCUUUCCCAGGCUAUGUACUCAUCAGGAGCAGGCUCCUGAGACAGAUGCCAAUUAAAGUUUAGGGUUCUCUCCAGUUCAGGACUCAGCCAGAGGAAGAACACUAGACCUACUAUACCUGCUCACAAACCUACAGUAAAUUAAAUUCAGUGUCAGGAAGUGCCUAAAUUUGAAAUUAGUGACUAACUAUGUAAGACUCAGGUCCAGUUCCAGAUAAGAAGCAUACUCUUGGCCUCUGGCAAUGACAACAUCUAAUUCUGAGACAUUUAGCCUAGAAAAAAGAAAUAUGAAGGAGCAACUGCAGUCCUAUGGCUACAUGAAAAAUCAUUUUAAACCCCACCACUCUUUAUGAGUUAAAGGAGCAUUGUUAAUAAUUAUUUGAGAAUAGACAUAAACCAUAUUCUUCCAGGCAGGCCAACCAGAACCCAUGGACACCCAUUAACAGCAGCUCCUAGGUCUCUGUUCUUUACUGCAGUGACUAGGAUACACAUGGGCCAACUAGGAAUGGAAGAUUUUUCUUUUGCAAAUACCUACCUGCUUGAUUUGCUCCCAGAGCAUCCUUGUAACUGAGGACCCUGAGUGAAAUGUGACUUCAACGUGAUAUGCAGCAUUUAAGAUCUGAAAGAGAACACAUAAAAAGAAUAUGCCCUUAGUAGAGUGACUAUUUAAAAAGGCAACAAAUAUUUACUUCAAGAAUACAGAGCAGUCUCAAGGUUUCCAAAUUUAUACUUCAGUAUACUACAGAAUCAAGUCAAGUUGUUCAUCUAUUUUAUGACUAAUUAGACCUUUUUUACUUCUUUGUUUCUCAACUGUCAUAUUUUAUAGCUCACCAACGCCUUUCACAGGCAGUGGUCAUUUGAUAGGAACCAAUACAAUUCAGAUAGGACAUGCAAAAAGUUAAAAGAGAAAUUUUUGGCUAAUUUUGAAGUGAGGGUUGUGUGUGAACUGUUUGGAACUGCAGUCUGUGACAAGGUAUCUUGGUAACCAUUCUUUGCAUACCUGUUUGAGAUAAUUACUGGUGAUGUGAACUGAGACAUCCUGCGACUUCUCCAGGCUCUGCAGACAACGCUCCAAGGUUCCAACAAAGCUCUCACGUAAGUAAUCCACAGAGCUGAUCAGCUUGUUAGCCACUGCCUGAUUAAGCCGGGAGAUAAUGAGUUCCUGGAUCUGUCGGAUACAGCAUUUGAUCUCUCUGGUGCCUACUGGUUCUCCAUUCUCAGGGAUAAUGACAUCUGUGGAGGCAGAGAAACGAGCUGGCCAGUGUGAGGAGAGGGGCAGGUAUCUCCUGAGACACAGCCACUGAACUGCCAUGAGGAUGGCUACAAAAAGACAUGGUUGGUUGAUGAACUCUGACCCUCAGCAUGACCAGAGACCACUAAGGUUCAAUUGCUUGGGGCAAGCUGGACAUGGUGGCACAUGCCUGUAAUCCUGGCACUUGGGAGACUGAGGCAGGAGGAUCAAUAAGUCCAAAGCCAGACUGGGAUAUACAGUGAGUUCAAGGCCUGGAUUGCAAAGUGAGACCCUGUCUCCAAAAAAAAACAAUUAGAACUACUUGUGGCAGAUAAGAUCCUAAGAGAAGCGGUUCUGUUUAAAAUGAGACAUUGAUUUUGUUAGCUUUAAGUCACAUUUAUGGAAGGAAGGAAAAUAUUAAUUGAAUGUAAACUAAAUACACGUAACGAAUUUUAACUUCACAAUAACUCUGCUUGGAGACAAAAUAAGUACUGAGAAGGGGACAUGUAGUUAAGAAGUAACACAGCUAGCAUUUGAAACCAAAUCUCACUGAUUCCAAAGUUUGUAAAUUAUCACAUUGUCCAGCAUAUUAAUGAGAAGAAUCUAGGACUCAGGAAUUUUAUCCUGAUCAAUUACUAGAUACAUAAAAAGCAAAAUUCAUUUGUUGGCCCUACCAUGUCACUACCUCACAAAAUUAAAAAAAAAAAAAAAAAAAGCCUGACAGAAGCUAUAAUGGUUAAUAUAUUGUGCCAACUUGAGAAAUCUAGAUGCUUAAAUAACCAACUCAGCAAUUUUACAUCCUCCAGUGUAGAGGACAUGCCCUUAUUGCGCUAAGACGUUGUUCAUUCUGUCAUUUGAGAAGUUUAAGUGACUCAGUAGGGGGCCAGGGUCCUCACUCUGUAAGCAUCAUGAGCCUGUACAAGAAGAGGCAAGGAGAAGGUAUGAGUGCUGAACCCAGCUGGGGUGGGUAGCUUGCAUAUAAGGAAGGAAAAGAGGCUUGUUCUCUCUCUUUUUUGCUCGUCUUUCUUUUGCUGUCUACUGUUGCCCCUGUGCCAUGCCACUUUGCCUUGGAGCCAGAUGAUUGUGGACUGAAACUUCUACAAACUAUGAGCUAAAUAAACCUUUCUUCUUAAAUUUGGCCAUCAAGAUCUUGAAAGAACAUGGCGGACAAAUAGCAACAGCUAUGCAGGCUCUCUGUGAGACCGAGCUUAGAAUCCAGGAAUCGUGCAGAGUAAGGAAUCCUAACCAAGAGGAGAUAUACCCUGCUGACCCAAGAACGAACUGGGCUGAGAGAUACCAACUGGGAAUGCAAUCCUGGUGCUAUAACAGGAACAGAUAAAGCCUGAGUGUGGAAGCUGGAGCCCGCGCCAUUGGAAGCCACGAUUUGCGUUUCCUGCCGCCACUGCUGCAUCUGAAUCAGCUCAGCAGGGAGAGAGAUGCGCGAAAGCUCUGAGAACAGGAACUGGUGAAGGAGUUAAGAGCUGGGCGGGCAGGCAGCCGUGCAUCGACCUCCGGUGAGUGAGGGAAACUGGGACUCUCCCACGGUCUAGGAGGCGCCAACAGAGGACAUUCUGGGACCGGGCAGACUUGCUGGAACAGGGCACUGUAAUGACUUCAGUCACAUAUCCCCCUCUCAAGCAGGAUUGGUGAGCAGUGCCUAGCCUACGUGCGCUGCUGGCUGAGACCCAGUAGGCUAGCACAACCCAGGUCCCAGCGCCUGAAGGUGACCUGAAGGGGCGAGCCCCACAUAGGCUGCCAGGUCUGUAACUCCCAGGUGUGCUGUGGUGGGCGGGAACACCUAGCCGGUGCAAUUCAAUCAGACUGUGGCUGACAGGGAAGGAAGCUGGGUCUCCUAUAUAUGCUUGCAUAUAUAAGGAACAAAGAAUAUGGGAAGAGGGAACAACAAGAAAGGCUCCUCAGCCCCGAAUCUUGAGAAACAGGCAAUAGCAGACACGCCACCAAUAGACAUAAAAGGCCUCCAGAGCCUCAUAGAUGAAUUCAGGAAUGAAGUUAUUAAUGACCUGAAGAAAGACAUAAGCAGAAUAGUCAGAGAAAUGCUAAGCACCACUCAAGAAAAAGCAGAUGGUGGAAUGGAAGAACAGAAAAAGAGGGGAGAAUUAUUUGAUGGAGAAAAUAGAGAACACGUAGAAUACGUGAAGCAGGUUCAAAGAGAUUACCAGGAAACUAAAAACUCUAUUGAAAACUGGCAUAACAGCUUGAAAGAAACUAAGGACCGAUUAUCUGAACUGGAGGGCAGAAUUGUAAUAUGGGAGCAUGAAAUGAAAAACUUCUUAAAAAUAACAAAAAAACAAACAGCAAUAAUACAAAAACUAGAAGAUGAUAAGAGGGUCUAUAACUUCAGAAUAUAAGAGAAGAAGUGGGGACACAAACAAAUGGACUACAAAAGCUAUUCACAGAAAUAAUCCAAGAGAAUUUCCCUAAUUUAGCAAACGGUAAAGAUACUCAGAUAUAUGAGGCAUACAGGACUCCAGCUACCUACAACCCAAAUAGAGCUACACCCAGGCAUAUAAUAAUCAAAAUUCCAGAAAUCCAAUAUAAGAACAGAAUAUUAAAAGCCAUCAGAGACAAGAAACAAAUCACUUACAAGGGAACACCCAUCAGAAUUACAGCAGACUUCUCGGCACAAACUAUCAAAUCACGAAGAGCGUGGGGGGAAAUAAUUCAAGCUUUGAAAGAUAAUAACCUCCAGCCAAGAUUGAGAUAUCCUGCACAACUAUCCCUGGAAAUUGAUGGAAAAACAAGGUGCUUUCAGGAUAAAGAGGAACUAGGGGAAUAUACAACCACCAAUUCAACUCUACAGAGAAUACUGCAGGAUAUUCUAAAAAAGAAAAAUACAAAGAAUCAGGAAAUAGUGGCAGAGAGGCCACAAUGAAUGGAGCAGAAAACAAAA